CGUAGGUGAACCUGCGGAAGGAUCAUUCACAAUAACUGUCUCCUGGCAUUUCUUUAAUCCAUACCCACCUUGUCUCCAUUGCUGUCUUGUAGUCUUAAUUCUUGUCAUUUGUGCGACAGGUUGUAUACAUAAACUCUACUCUUUACAAUCUUUGUCUAAUACCUGUAUGCAAACUUAAUUUAAAAACAACUUUCAACAACGUAUCUCAUCGCUCUCGCACCCAUGAAAUACGAAGCAGACCCGACGGACCUCCAUUCGAAUUCCAGUCACCUCAU
rnacentral:misc_RNA from 1 species